UAGCAGCCAUCCACAAUAGGCCACUUCCUGUAACUGUGAAGCUAGUCAGGGCUGGUACAGCCCUAGGUGACGUGAAUGUUCACGGUAUGUGUUCUAAGGCCGCUCGACCCGAUGGGUCUGAGCUGGGGAGGAGGAUAUGUGAUAAAGUGAAGGCAGAUAGGCCUUUUAACCCCAGGGGGAGUAUGUGUAGUUUGUGUUUUGCACAACACAACGCAUUGUUUAGUUAUGGGCCCCUGGGGUGGAGCAUUUGGAGAGAAG